AUGCGUGAUCUCAAGCAUGCAGCUGGAGCGUGGGUCGACGAACUUCCCUCGGUGCUUUGGGGACUGCGGACCACACCUAAUCGAUCGACCGAAAGAACUCCAUUCUUCUUGGUCUACGGAGCUGAAGCAGUCUUGCUGAGUGAUCUUCUCCACAAUGCUCCUCGAGUUGAGAUCUACAACGAAGCAGAAGCUGAACAAGCGCGGCAGGACGCAGUCGACCUUUUAGAGGAAGAAAGGGAGAUGGCUCUGAUCCGAUCGACCAUCUACCAACAAGAUUUGCGUCGUUUCCACGCCAGAAAUGUGAGGGGUCGAGCCUUCCAGGAAGGAGAUUUAGUUCUCCGAGUGGAUCAGAAGAAACAUCACAAGCUUGCUCCUUCUUGGGAAGGGCCCUUCAUCGUCACCAAAGUUCUCCACAACGGGGCAUACCGUCUUUACAACAUCGAACAUAAUAUCGAUGAGCCCCGAGCUUGGAACGCGGAACUACUCCGCCCAUUUUACACUUAA
rnacentral:rRNA from 1 species